GUCGGUCUCGAGAUUUUUACGUUUAUCUGUAUUUCAUUUUAAUAAGCAUUGUGUAUACAUUUCAUAAAAUUAGGUCGAAGCCAAUUAAGUUAGAGAACGGAAACGAAAAAAUCAGCAAUUUAUAUGUUUAUAAAAGAGCAUAAUUCAAGUACGGUAAAAGUGACUAUUAUGUAGUAAUACGAAUUGUGUAUAAGUUUCAUAACAUUUGGUGGAGGCAAACUAAAGUUAGAGAACGGAAAAGAACAAUUCCGCAUUUUUUUAUGUUUCGAAAGGAGCAUAACUCUUGAACUCUUAUAUUGACGCCACCAAAAUUCAAACUUGAUCCGUGUUUUGUAGCAAUACGCAUUGUGUAUAUAAGUAACAUAAUAUUUGGGUGAGGCAAACUAACGUUAGAGAACAGAAACCAACUUUGGGACGUACGUAUGUACAGAGGACAAGGAUAAAACACAAUGCCCCUCCGCUACGAUGGGGGAUAUUGAAAUACAGUUACUAAAUUUGGAAAACUACUAUUAAUAGAAAAGAAAAGAAAGAAAUAAAAAUACUUUGUGUGUUCAAAUCAUCGUUUACUUUUUACUUAGAAAUAAAAGGAGAUGAUUUAAAUUUGUACUAAAACAUACAAAACUAUAUUGCUAUACAAAUACAUGAUUGGUUAGAACAGAAGCCAAAAGCAAUAGUAAUCUCAGUCUACUUACUAUAAUAAACAUUCUUAAACAGUUUUACAUACUUAUAGUACGUAUCAUAGUUAAACAUAUAUAACUUUUUAUUUCAGAAUCAGAGAAAAUUCUAUAUAGUAAUAAAUAUUUCCAAAACCAAACAUAUACAAAUAAUCCAAAUGUCUGAAUUUCUGAAACAUUAUUACAAAAAAUACAAUCAAUGAGUUAAUAUAGUUGGACACAGAAGUGUUAUGUACAUUAAAGUAAACAUUCCUCCCUCCUCAGAUUCCAACAGAUCUAUUAUCAUACAAAUGUCAUACAUACAUUGGAAUUAUUUGCAUUGGUGAAGGUAACAACAAUAACAUUAGGCAGUAUUGACAAAGUCUGUGAGCAAUAUCUACUAUUAACUCUAAAGUAGGAAAAUAUAUUGAAACAUAAUUUUUCACUAUGCUUACAAAUUAAAAUAAAUACAUGAAAAGGAUUAAAUUGAAAAGACCCCACAUAUUAAAUGGUCUUAAAUGAUGUGUGCUAAUUAUAUCCUCCUCCCAAUAAAUAUAAAUUAUGGUGUAAGGUAUAGCUAUGACAACACCUUGUGAUAUUAUGGAUUCUUGUUUACUGAUAACAUUUCAUUUUCAUUAAUUAUUUUAUUAAUGACGAAAUUUAAAAUGCACAUUUAAUUUCAUAUCUCAAACACAAUAACUUUGCAAAAUUUGUAAAAACUAACAUGAUUGACAUAUAUAUAACUGUGACUUACAAAUAUAGAAUACUUAUAAUAAAACACGAUGUAUAAUUCUACAAAACGGAGUAGCAAUAUUAAAUAUGGUCUAUUAAUCUACAAAAACGGAGCAAUGAAUCGGAUUAAAGCCUUGUGUCAAAAGGACCAACACUGCACCGUUUUCAGAAGGAAGAUCAUUUAGAUGAUUUAAAUUACUUUUAUCAACAUUGAAAAAAAGUUUAGUUAGUAGAAAAUGGUGUAUAAUGUUGUAGAUAGAUUAAUAGGUUAUUAUGAAUAAAAGAAUAUGUUUUAGGUCAAUGAAACAUCCUGUACGAACUGUGACGCCCGUAUAUGACACGGAAACCAGACGUUAAAAUCAUACUAUAUCCUGGCGUCAUUGCUGUGUUUACAAAAUGCAUGUCCAGGCGUCAACCAGGCGUAAACUGAGCGUAAAUCAGGCAUAACUGAGGCGUAAACCAGGCGUAAAGUUAGGCGUAAUAUUUAAAUGAGUACGCCUGGUUCACCAAAAAAUAGGCGUAUUAUGCAAAUGAGUACGCCUGGUCAAUAAAUAAACCAGGCGUAAUAUCCUUACAUAAUACUACACUUAUUCUAGAUCAGUGUAAAUACCCUAGCUGUGUACUUUUGUGUAUAUGAAACAAACUUCUGUACUGUUGCUUUUAUUUCUUAUUGUUGGACAAAAAACUUGAAAUAUUAACCAUUGAAGAAGCUAAUAUAGAAAUGAAUACAUUUUAGACAGACACUGGCUCAAAUAAAUUUAAGUUUAAAUAAGAAUUAUGACAAUUAAAUAUUUUUUGAAAUAAAAGUAGCAUUUUAACUAAGUUGUUUUUGAAAAUUAUUGUCUUUUGAACUAAAAGUAAAAGAUAUUAAUGGUAUUAUCCAUGGAUAAAGGUUUUGGGAUUUCAAAAUUUCUGAUAGAACAUAGUACUUAAUAACUUAGUUAUACUCACAUUAUUAUUAUUUGCCAUGUAUUACUACUUUCCUUUUAUUUCACAAUUUUCAUUAUUUAUUUGAUUCAGUAUUUCCAAUUUCAAAUUCUUCCCAAAAUCGCAAAACAAUCUAAUCAUCCCUGAAUAUAUGAAGCUGCCAUAAGUCCAACUCUUGCAAUGCAAACUAAAACCAAAGAGCCAAAUUUUGAAGAAAAAAAAAUCCCAUGAUCCUUUAAACAAAGCAUUAUGGGUAUUUCUAUUUACGCCAUACCAACAGUUUUACGCCCGUAAGAAAAUUUACGCCUUGCUUAUCUUAAUUUACGCCAGGUUUACUGCUUUUUUCUACGCCCGUAAGGACUACAAAUUUACAUUUGCUGCUCCCUUACGCCUGGAUCUAGACACGUAACUACCACUUACGCCUGGUUUACGCCUUAUUUCCAGGCCUAAUUCGCCUUAUAAUUUCGUACGGGAGCAGCCAUAUAAAAUUAACCAAAAAAUAAUUCUUCAGUGAUAGACAGAUGCCUUUACAAUAUGACAGGCUCUAAAUUGUCAAAGAAAAUUGUGAAUAAAUUCAACAGGAACAAUCCAAUAUCUACCAUAAAAUAUUUGUAGUUGUUUGCUUCAUGUCAGGAGGCAAACAUUGUAUGCACAUUCAGGACUAGAUCAAAUUAAAAAUUAAUCUGUUAGAUAAUUUUUGAAAGAUGAGAGGACAGGGAUGAAUGAACCAUAACCAUAAGCUGCAAUGACCCAUUAUUUUAGCAUGUGUUUUGCUGUUGGAUGGAAGAAGUUCAGUAUAUGUCUUUACUCCAAAACAAUCAUUGGGCACAUGCAUUUAGGUUACUGCAUAAAAUGUUGUAUAAAAUGAAUGUAAAUUUGUAAACGACCAAUGUUUAAUAAUAAUAAUGUUUUGUCUAUGCUCAUAAAUAUCUCACAUAUCAUAACUAUACAUAUUUAACUUAUCAAUGCAUUUGGAUUUGUAGAAUAACAAACUGUUUUGUAUGAUAUUUGCUUCUAAUUAUGUCCAACCAUUGAAGUAUUAACGUUAAUAUAAUACGUCCAUGGUCCAACAUAUUUUGAAUAAUGUUAUAUCCUGUACGAAAUGCGACGCCUGUAUCACACGGAAACCCUGGGUCAUAACCAAACCAGGCUUCGUUGUUACCUACCAGGUGUAAAACAAGCGUAAAUCAGACAGACACCAGGAUUUAUACUUAAAUAAUGUCAUCAAAGACACCAGGAGAAAAAUUGUACACAUCGGUCGCGGGACUUUCAUCUACAAAGUCUCAAUUAUGACGCUCGAAUCAAACGAGUUAAAAGGCCAAAAAAUAUAUUAUGUUGGAUAGGCUUAAGAACCCAAAAGACGUAAAAUGUUUGCCAAAUAUACCCAAGACAAUCCAUUCCUUGGGUAAAAAAUCCUUAGUAUUUUAAAAAAUAGUUGAGUACAUCGGUCAACAGAAACCGACAGAGUAAUACAUGAAUGCUGAUUACAAUUUUGAAUUGUCUGACAUAAACAUUGCAAUAAAUACCAUUAGAAAAACUACAAUAGAUAUAAUUUAGCCAGACACAGUGGUUUAUAUCAGUUAAAGUUUAAAUGAAAAUUGAUAAUAACUUGUUGAGUAACAUCUGUUAUUUAGUUGUCCUUUGAACUGAAAAAUCACCGAUUUAACACUGCACUGUUAUUUAUCUUGAAUGCAAGGUUGGACUUAAAUAAUUAUUACAGUAAGUUAAAAUGACAAGCAUUUCUAAAAUUAAACUGUUAAAAACAAUAGGACAUAAUGACUGUGUUAUUUCUAACAAAACAAUGUCCACGUUUUUUUACCUUUAAUCUAAGAUUUAAAGGAGUAGGUCCAGUAAGACCCCUUUUUGGCCCCAAAAUAUAGCAGUUUUACAAAAUUGUUAAAAUGUAAACUUUUAGUCAUUUAUUGGAUAGUAGAAAGGUUCUGUUACAUAAAUAUGGGCUCUUUUUGACAAUACAAUGCACAUAUAUUGAGAACUAGCACCAUUAAUUCAUGCUAAAUUACUGAAAUCUUCACAAUUCCAGCAUUUUAGUUAAAUUUUAGACGGUUUCCGUGUAAAACGAAAGUGGCCGCAUUCGUGUUCAUCCAAAAUAUUGAAAUGGAAGUUGUAUUUGAUGAUAAUACAUAACAUAUAUAAAGAUUUAGGAUGAACAUGGAUGCGGCCACUUUCGUUUUUGACAAAAACCAUCUGAAAAGUGACAUUUUUUUCGCAUAUUUGGUAGAUUUCUCAUAUUUGAGCCUGAAUCGGAUCGUUUUUAAUGACUAAAUAAGUUAAAAUCUUUCACAUAAAUUAAUUGCAUCAUAUGAAAUAGACACUUAAGUGUUUAAAAAGUGGUCAAAAUCUUUCGUCAGAUGAAACUGAAAUUUGAGGCCAAAAUCGGUCCUUACCAGACCUACUCCUUU
rnacentral:lncRNA from 1 species